UACGUAGGGUCCGAGCGUUGUCCGGAAUUACUGGGCGUAAAGAGCUCGUAGGUGGUUUGCCGCGUUGUUCGUGAAAACUCACAGCUCAACUGUGGGCGUGCGGGCGAUACGGGCAGGCUGGAGUACUGCAGGGGAGACUGGAAUUCCUGGUGUAGCGGUGGAAUGCGCAGAUAUCAGGAGGAAUACCCAUAGCGAAGGCAGCUCGCUGGGACGUUACUGACGCUGAGGCGCGAAAGCGUGGGGAGCGAACAGG
rnacentral:rRNA from 1 species